UCGAAGGUAGCAUAAUCAGUAGGUUUUUAAUUGAGACCUCGUAUGAAUGGUUCAACGAAAUAUUAGCUGUUUCAAAAAAAUUUAUAUAGAAAUUAAUUUUUUAGUAAAAAAGCUGAAAUGUAAUUAAAAGACGAGAAGACCCUAUAGAGUUUUAUAUAAAAUUAUUAUAAAUUAUUAAGAAUAAUUUAAUUUUUAGUGGUAUUUAUAUUUUGUUGGGGUGACAGUAAAAUUAAAAUAUCUUUUAUUAAUUUUUAACAAUGAUUUUUGUAUAAUUGAUCCAUUAUUAUUGAUUAUAAGAUUAAAUUACCUUAGGGAUAACAGCGUAAUUUUUUUGUAGAGUUCUUAUCGAUAAAAAUUUUUGC
rnacentral:rRNA from 1 species